UACGUACGGGGCAAGCGUUGUCCGGAUUUAUUGGGCGUAAAGAGCGUGUAGGCGGUUUGGUAGGUCCGCUGUGAAAACUCGAGGCUCAACCUCGAGACGCCGGUGGAAACCAUCAGGCUAGAGUCCGGAAGAGGAGAGUGGAAUUCCUGGUGUAGCGGUGAAAUGCGCAGAUAUCAGGAAGAACACCCGUGGCUAAGGCGGCUCUCUAGUACGGUACUGACGCUGAGACGCGAAAGCGUGGGGAGCGAACAGG
rnacentral:rRNA from 1 species